AUUGAACGCUGGCGGCAUGCCUUAUACAUGCAAGUCGAACGGUAACAGGCCUUCGGUUGCCGUCGAGUGGCGAACGGGUGCGUAAUGCUACGGAAUGUAUCCAGUGGCUGGGGAUAAGGGAGCACAAGCGGUGCUAAUAGCUCAUGCCAUCUGAGGAUGAAAGCGGCGGGCCGAGCAGCUAUGAUUGGCCUUUCCUCUUUGGAACGGCCGAUGUCGGAUUAGCUAGUUGGUGGGGUAAAGGCCUACCAAGGCAACGAUCCGUAGCUGGUCUGAGAGGACGACCGGCCACACUGGAACUGAGACACGGCCCAGACUCCUACGGGAGGCAGCAGUGGGGAAUUUUGGACAAUGGGCGAAAGCCUGACCCAGCAAUGCCGCGUGCGGGAAGAAGGCCUUCGGGCUGUAAAACGCUUUUGGCAGGAACGAAACGGUGUCCACUAAAACCGGGCGCUAAUGACGGUACCUGAAGAAUAAGCACCGGCUAACUACGUG
rnacentral:rRNA from 1 species